rnacentral:tRNA from 1 species
UGAGAUAUAGCAUAAAUUAAUGCAUUUCACUUACACUGAAAUAAUAGCUUCGUAUAGCUUGUCUCAA